rnacentral:rRNA from 1 species
AGUGAACGCUGGCGGUAGGCCUAACACAUGCAAGUCGAACGGCAGCACAGGAGAGCUUGCUCUCUGGGUGGCGAGUGGCGGACGGGUGAGGAAUACAUCGGAAUCUACUUUUUCGUGGGGGAUAACGUAGGGAAACUUACGCUAAUACCGCAUACGACCUACGGGUAAAAGCAGGGGACCUUCGGUCCUUGCGCGAUUGAAUGAGCCGAUGUCGGAUUAGCUAGUUGGCGGGGUAAAGGCCCACCAAGGCGACGAUCCGUAGCUGGUCUGAGAGGAUGAUCAGCCACACUGGAACUGAGACACGGUCCAGACUCCUACGGGAGGCAGCAGUGGGGAAUAUUGGACAAUGGGCGCAAGCCUGAUCCAGCCAUACCGCGUGGGUGAAGAAGGCCUUCGGGUUGUAAAGCCCUUUUGUUGGGAAAGAAAUCCAGCUGGCUAAUACCCGGUUGGGAUGGCGGUACCCAAAGAAUAAGCACCGGCUAACUUCGUGCCAGCCGCCGCCGUAA